rnacentral:tRNA from 1 species
GGGCCCGUAGCUCAACUGGAUAGAGCAUCGGAUUUCUAAUCCGAGGGUUGGGUGUUCGAGUCACCCCGGGCCCACCA